GCUGUAACACCUGCUCUCCACAUGUCUUCUUCCGCAAGAGGAGAAAAUGAGUUCGGCUUUCGAACUUUGUGCUGCUGGAAGGCGAAGGUGAAGUGAAGGAACUGAAACAUCACCUGGUGUCAGAAUGCAAGAGACACAAGGGAACCUCUUCACAUCACUCCAUUACGCCACUCCCUCCCAUAUGCCUUCUCCACGCUCAAUAUAGCCCCUUAAACCGACAAUGAUGAGGUUGUUGGAGUGUAAAUCCUUUGCCCCUGGUGCAAUUACCCCCUGUGUGUUUGUAGUAAAUCUACAUGCAUAUGGCCCUGCCUUUGAAGACGCAGCUACUAAUCCCGUAACCCUGUCAGAGAAAGAGAGGGAGGGAAGAGGGAGAAGGACAGCAAGGCAAAGAGAAGGGGAGAGAGACCUACACAAGGGACAAGAGAGCGAACACUUGUGGCUGUGAUGGAAAACUCUGCAAUGAUUUCUGUUAAACCCUUUUAGAAAAAUUAAUU